GACGAACGCUGGCGGCGUGCUUAACACAUGCAAGUCGAGCGGUAAGGCCCCUUCGGGGGUACACGAGCGGCGAACGGGUGAGUAACACGUGAGCAAUCUGCCCUUCACACGGGGAUAACUUCGGGAAACCGGAGCUAAUACCCGAUACGACCACCUCGGGCAUCCGAUGGUGGUGGAAAGCUCCGGCGGUGAAGGAUGAGCUCGCGGCCUAUCAGCUUGUUGGGGGGGUAACGGCCCACCAAGGCAACGACGGGUAGCCGGCCUGGGAGGGUGGCCGGCCACACUGGGACUGAGACACGGCCCAGACUCCUACGGGAGGCAGCAGUGGGGAAUAUUGGACAAUGGGCGAAAGCCUGAUUCAGCAACGCCGCGUGAGGGAUGACGGCCUUCGGGUUGUAAACCUCUUUCAGCAGGGACGAAGCGCAAGUGACGGUACCUGCAGAAGAAGCACCGGCCAACUACGUGCCAGCCGCCGCCGUAAAAC
rnacentral:rRNA from 1 species